UACGUAGGGUGCGAGCGUAAUCGGAAUUACUGGGCGUAAAGCGUGCGCAGGCGGUUCGUUGUGUCGGCGGUGAAAGCCCCGGGCUUAACCUGGGAAUGGCCGUUGAAACUGGCGAACUGGAGUGUGGCAGAGGGGGUGGAAUUCCGCGUGUAGCAGUGAAAUGCGUAGAGAUGCGGAGGAACACCGAUGGCGAAGGCAGCCCCUGGGCUAACACUGACGCUCAGGCACGAAAGCGUGGGGAGCAAACAGG
rnacentral:rRNA from 1 species